rnacentral:rRNA from 1 species
UUAAAAAGCUCGUAGUUGGAUCUUGGAGUGUGAGUGAAUGGUCGAUCGAAAGAUUGUACUGUUCGGCACACUCUUCUCUUCGGUUGCGUGUGUAAUGCCCUUAACUGAGUGCUGCACUCGACCGGAAUUUUUACCUUGAAAAAAUUAGAGUGUUCAAAGCAGACCUGAUUAUGUCUGAAUAUUCGUGCAUGGAAUAAUAAAAUAAGAACUUGGUUCUAUUUUAUUGGUUUUCGGAACUCGAGUUAAUGAUUAAGAGGGACAGACGGGGGCAUCCGUACUCUGCCGUUAGAGGUGAAAUUCUUGGAUCGGCGGAAGACGCGCAACUGCGAAAGCAUUUGCCAAGAAUGUUUUCUUUAAUCAAGAACGAAAGUCGGAGGUUCGAAGACGAUCAGAUACCGUCCUAGUUUCGACUGUAAACUAUGCCAGCUAACGAUCAGACAGCGUUCUCUACGACUUGUCUGGCAGUUUCCGGGAAACCAAAGCUUUUGGGUUCCGGGGGAAGUAUGGUUGCAAAGCUGAAACUUAAAGGAAUUGACGGAAGGGCACCACCAGGAGUGGAGCCUGCGGCUUAAUUUGACUCAACACGGGGAAACUCACCCGGCCCGGACACAGUGAGGAUUGACAGAUUGAGAGUUCUUUCUUGAUUCUGUGGGAGGUGGUGCAUG